AAAUUUCAACCUUCAUCUUUUGAAAUAAAAGAAGAUGGAUUGGACUUUUGGAAGCUGCUGGAUUUGACAUAUUUCGGCUCUUCUCAAAUACAUUAGCAGGAUUGCCUCUUGACAAUUCAUUGGUAUGAUAAUUAUCUAUACCUAUCAGAAUGUCUGGACUCAUGGCAUCGUGCUUAUAACUGUCUACAAAGACAUUUAUUUGAACAA
rnacentral:misc_RNA from 1 species